ensembl:lncRNA
AAACCCUGCUGAGGAGGUCCUGGCUAUUUCCUGCUCACGUUUUUUUUUCAGGGUUCAGCAGGCCGAGCAUGGGUGAGACCGGCAGCAUUUGUGACUAUCUCAGAAGGCAAACCAGAUAACACAGUGGCUCUUGAAAACCGAGCCCUUCAAGGCAACCAGGAGAGGACUUCCACGUGCGCUAUGGCAUUUGAACCUCCUACUCUAGAAUCUGGAGGAACAGAGAAGAUGGGGGUCUAACUCUUGGCUGAGAGCUGAGGCACCUGAAACCCAGACUUCCACUGUCAUCCAUGACGCAGUGGCUGAUGCUUCAACCCGUAAAGGAAGAGACACAGUGGUGGCUUGGUUUCAACAACUUCUGUGAAAAUCAGCAGCCUGAAUCUGCAAGCCUCCUCCUUCCCAAUUGAUGGCCCCCAGCUGUGAUUUCUCCAGUAAUUACAUAUUGGCUCCCCCACUGUGGUUGUGCAGACCAGUAUAUCUCCAGAAGAAUCUUGUGAAUAGAUCCAUCCUUCAUAUCAGCUUCAAAAUUUCCUUUGCCUCAGUCACCAUGACCACUAUCUCUCUACUGUCUCACACUUGUUCCCGCCAAAGAUUAUGGAUUUCAAUCAAAGCCUUGCUAGUGGAUUAGGCAGCUGCCUUCUGCUUGGUACACUACACAAAAGCCUCGCAAGACUAGUGGUUGGGCCAUUAAAGUACCUGAAUUGAAGUUAAUUGUCAACCCACUUCCUAACCAAACCUCUAACUCAAUUAGCACUUAUUUGACUGUCUAAAUCUUUGGCUUGAAGCACCCUGCCAGUUUGGGUGGGAGCUAUUGGUAUGAAAGACACCCUUCUCCUGGGAACUCAGCCCAGACAAACCAAUUCAUUUCACACUUAUUUUUCCAACUCACUACAACUGGGGAAGGAAAUCUUCAUUAUACUUCAUCUAUUGGGAUUGUAGCCAGCAAGCCAAUAGAUCCCAUCAGCCCAUCUCUUCAGUUACUGGGUCUUUUCAUGCUUAUAAUGGCUUUUGAGUAACACCUUUGCUUUGAAUAACCAUUUCACAGAGAGGCUUCCCAGGCUUGCUGGAGUUCCUUUGAGGAGAGCAACGUUUUUGAAGAUGUUUAAAGCUAGAAACUUCUCAUCAAGAAGCCAUCAAAGCAUUGCUAGGCAUGAGAGCCAGUUAUUAGUAAUGACGGUUCAGGAAGAGACCAUUUACAGACACAAGAUCAGAGAAGAAUAGUGUGAGAAUAAAGUAUUUCAUGAAUUCAUAGUGUCUUCCCCUCAAACAG